rnacentral:misc_RNA from 1 species
GGAUAUUUGCUUGCCCUGCUGACAUUUUUUUGUCGUUCGGGCAGCCGAAAUGUUGGCGAAAUCCCUGUGUUGGUGCGCGGCUGAGUGCCCCGUUGCUAUCGCUUGGAUUUCUGCCGGCUCUCACGGAUGCGGUGCCUAUUGCCAGCUCUGCGGGGCUCCGUCCCGCAGACUUCGGGAGGUCCCUUGCACGAAUCACUGCUCUUAUACGCCGUCUAGCGUGUUGCCUGCGGCGACCGCAGAUCGUGUUCUGUCGUGCCGUCAUUGGCGACGCGGCAGAACAAAGUGUCCGGAGCGUGCUCGCGUGCAUGCGGAAUGCCUCCCUGUCCGUAUGAGCAGCGAUUUCCGGUUUGCGCCGUGCGAAGGCCCGCCCGUCCGGGUCGGUGCUGGAGCCGGCGUGCCGGGUCU